GAUGAAGAACGCAGCAAAAUGCGAUAAGUAAUGUGAAUUGCAGAAUUCAGUGAAUCAUCGAAUCUUUGAACGCACAUUGCGCCCGCUGGUAUUCCGGCGGGCAUGCCUGUUCGAGCGUCAUUUCAACCCUCAAGCCCCCGGGUUUGGUGUUGGGGAUCGGCUCUGCCCUUCUGGGCGGUGCCGCCCCCGAAAUACAUUGGCGGUCUCGCUGCAGCCUCCAUUGCGUAGUAGCUAACACCUCGCAACUGGUACGCGGCGCGGCCAUGCCGUAAAACCCCAACUUCUGAAUGUUGACCUCGGAUCAGGUAGGAAUACCCGCUGAACUUAAGCAUAUAAAUAAGCGGAGGA
rnacentral:misc_RNA from 1 species